rnacentral:misc_RNA from 1 species
GAAAUGCGAUAAGUAAUGCGAAUUGCAGAAUUCAGUGAGUCAUCGAAUCUUUGAACGCAUAUUGCGCCCUUUGGUAUUCCGAAGGGCAUGCCUGUUCGAGCGUCAUUAUCAACCAUCAAGCUAAGCUUGUCGUUGGACCCUUUGUCGCCUGGCGACAGGUCCGAAAGAUAAUGAACGGUGUCAUGGCGACCCUAUAUGCAACGAGCUUGUCAAUAAGCACGCAUUUGGUGGUCGUCUGGCCCGAUCGUCACCUUUUAUUUUCUCCAGGUUGACCUCGGAUCAGGUAGGAAUACCCGCUGAACUUAA